rnacentral:lncRNA from 1 species
AAAAGAAAAUUGCAACAAAAGGUCCUAACAAUCCAAUAGGAUUAUAGAGAAUUUACAAUGAAACAUUAACAAUCAUAAUCAAACAUUAACUAAGCUCAAUUAAAUUUUAUUGAAGUUAUAAAAGAAACACAAGGAAAUUGUAAAAAAAUAUAAAAGAAUAUUAAAGAAAACUUACUUAGUCAAACUCUAAUAAAAAUCUAAUAGAACCUUAAAUUCUAACCAAAUCUUAAUCCUAAUUCAACCUUAAUCAAACCCUAGACAAAUCCUAAAUCCUAAACCAAACUCUAAUCAAAUCUUAAUCCCUAACCAAAUCCUAAUUCAAACCCUAAACCCUAAACCAAAUCCUAUCCAAAUCCUAAAUCCUAAACCAAAUCCUAAUCCAAAUCCUAAACUCUAAACCAAAUCCUAAAUCCUAAAUCAAAUCCUAAUCCAAAUCCUAAAUCUUAAACCAAAUCCUAAUCCAAAUCCUAAACCCUAAAUCAAAGCUUAUCCAAAUCCUAAACCCUAAAUCAAACCCUAAUCCAAAUCCUAAA